AUUGAACGCUGGCGGCAUGCCUUACACAUGCAAGUCGAACGGCAGCAUGGAGGAGCUUGCUCCUCUGAUGGCGAGUGGCGAACGGGUGAGUAAAGCAUCGGAACGUACCGUGUAGUGGGGGAUAACGUAGCGAAAGUUACGCUAAUACCGCAUACGCACUGAGGUGGAAAGCAGGGGAUCGCAAGACCUUGCGCUAUACGAGCGGCCGAUGUCAGAUUAGCUAGUUGGUAGGGUAAAGGCCUACCAAGGCGACGAUCUGUAGCGGGUCUGAGAGGAUGAUCCGCCACACUGGGACUGAGACACGGCCCAGACUCCUACGGGAGGCAGCAGUGGGGAAUUUUGGACAAUGGGCGCAAGCCUGAUCCAGCAAUGCCGCGUGCAGGAAGAAGGCCUUCGGGUUGUAAACUGCUUUGUACGGUAACGAAAAGGUACUGGGUUAAUACCUGGCGUCAUGACGGUACCGUAAGAAUAAGCACCGGCUAACUACGUG
rnacentral:rRNA from 1 species